rnacentral:rRNA from 1 species
UACGUAGGGUGCAAGCGUUGUCCGGAAUUAUUGGGCGUAAAGAGCUCGUAGGCGGUGUGUCACGUCGGCCGUGAAAACCUGCAGCUUAACUGUGGGCGUGCGGUCGAUACGGGCAUCACUGGAGUUCGGCAGGGGAGACUGGAAUUCCUGGUGUAGCGGUGAAAUGCGCAGAUAUCAGGAGGAACACCGGUGGCGAAGGCGGUUCUCUGGGCAUGUCCUGACGCUGAGGAGCGAAAGUGUGGGGAGCGAACAGG